CGAGCGCCCGCCGCCCUCCUCCGGCCUGGCGACGACACUAGCAGACGGGGAGGGCCAUAGUCACCUGAUGUAGGAGCUGACCAGCGGGAACCAAGGCCCACCCUGUCAGAGAAUUAAGGGCUCAGUCAGGCAUGAGGGAGAAGGAGAAUUUAGAAAUACCUUUUGAAAGGAAUAUGAUUGAUGAGAAGAGAUGCAACAGAGCUGCAGAGCAGCACCGCUUAUUAGCACAUGCAUAUGUACACAGUGUGAAAACUCCCGCUCAGCUGGACCAUCCUGCUCAGUCUGCGAAGCCACGGUUCACCAACUAGACUUUGUACACACACCAGCUCUCAUUGUGUGGAAUCUUGCUCUCCAAAAUGUCUUGUUCCUCUCCACCCAAAUUCCAUGCUUCCUGCCUUCACUGAUUCCCACUUGAAAUGCCUCUUGUUACUGCAGGUGACCUUCUUGGACUCUUGAGGCACAGUGAGGUGUCUUCUAGAGGGCUGGUGACAUCUGGAAAGAGACAAUGAAUAUUCAAAUGAUAAAAAUAAAGCAGGUAUUUUCUC
rnacentral:lncRNA from 1 species